rnacentral:misc_RNA from 1 species
ACGCAAGAUGGCCGCGCCCAUGAACAGUGAAGGAAAAAAAUUGGCGUUGAGUGUACCAGCAAAACAUGGACAGCAGGUUAGGACCAAAGAGAACAAGAAAAAAGUGUAUUCCUAUAUCUAUACAAAACAAAGACAUGAAUCACAGACACUUGUGGAGGUCUACUGAAAUCACAAUGGUGGCUCCUCAUGGUUCUGUGUGUGGAUGGAAGGAAAUGGUUACCUGUCAUCUGAAAUAGAUAAAUCAUUUAUUUUAAACUUUCUAUGGACCAUUUCUCAAAGGGUGUAUUCGUUUGGUCGAUUGGAGAGCUGCAAGAGUAAUCCUAGUUUGCUCAUUUGCAGUAUGAAUGGAGAUCUCCAGUAGAUCUCCAUUGAGUCUCCAUUGUCUACUUUUAAAAUAGCAACGCUGGAGAUAUAAUGGACCAGGUCUGGAGGUAGCAAACAAAUACACCAAAAUUGUCUCCGUAAUGCUUGUAAAUGUAUAAAAAUGGAUAUUUAUAUCUUAUUUCACAAUCU